AUGAAUAAUCAAAACUUUGAUUCUUGCCUUCUCUUGCAAUUGACUUUACUAUCCAUAGUAUACUAGCUUUUUCUUUCAUAUCCAUUUAAAUGGUUUAAAGUGCAUUUGAUGCCUACCAAAAAAAAAAACUAACAAAAAUAUAUAAGUAAGACUCAAUAUAACUAUUUUAGAAACUUUAAACAAUGUGAAAUCAUUUACAAACACUUACAAAAAACGAAAUCUGAAAGCUAUUAUGAGUCCAAACCUUAAAAGAAAGAGACAAAUUGAUAAGGUUGAGACUCUUGCCCGUUUUGCUUCCUCUUUCAUAUCCAUUUAUGGUUUAAAGUGCAUUUGAUGUCUACUUCCAAAAAAAAAAAAGAUGCAAAAAUUUCUCGAUUUACAUUUAGAACAAAACAAAAACAUGUAAGUAAGACUCAAUAUAACCAUUUUAGAAACAUUAAACAAUAUGAAAUCAUUCACAAAAACUAAAAGAAAAAGAAAAAAAAAAACUCUUGCCGUAAACGUUGGUGAUACCGUAAAUGUUGGUGAUACAACAAACCAUCUUCCAUUUUUCUUUCAGUAAUUGAGUAACUUCAAUUGUCAAAGGAAACAAAAGCAUUUGUAAAUAUGUGUGUGUUGUGUUUGUGUAAAUAUUUGCUAUUUAUAUUAGAAAAGUAGAUUGUUAGGGUAUAACUAAUAAAGGUUAAUAAUUAUAGAAGAACGUUUACAACACGAACGUUACAUGAGUAACAAACUAAUAAUAUCUUUUUUUAAAACGUUACAUGAGACAUUGAGUAUUCAAUCUCAUUGAGCCACUAAUAACCUUAAUGAGGUUUAAUCCUAAUUUUUUUUCUCUCGUUCCUCUUAACAGUUAUCAAAACUAUGGUCAUUUGAGUCUUUUUUAAUCAGGUGAGCUUUACAUCUAUUUCUCA
rnacentral:sRNA from 1 species